ensembl:lncRNA
CGGUUUUACAUGACUGUGAAACAUUACAGUUGAAGCGUUUACAUUUUCGAUAUGAUUUUGCGUAUAAUUACACUGCAAUAACACUCUGUGCUGCAUUCUCCAUUGUUUGCCUGGAUCUGUGCGGGAAAGCCCAGCGCUGGUUGAGGGGCACAACGUGACCUAACAAACAAGGAACCUCCGGGAACACCGUCAGUCCUGAACUAUGCGCACAUGGGGCCUAUCUGAGGGGUCCCGCGAGAAGCGACGCUUUACAAAUGACUCUUAAAAUACGCUUUUGCAAAUACGCCUCGGUAAAGCGCAUUAAUUUCGCUUUUGUGCUAUGUUUAUGAGGAAAGAUUAUAAUAUUAGUCACUCAGAUGGUGCUUAACGCGUUUUUUAAUGUGCUCCAUCGGCCGUCAGGACACUCCCUGAGCGCGUUUGCUUCGGUUAGGAGGCGGAGACGGGACCCCCGUUGACGUCAGUGGGCCUGUCGGUUUCCUGCAAUAGAAAGUGAGGGAAGAUAGAGCGAGAGAGGGGAAAAACAGACCUCUGACCGUUGAAACCCUUGACAACAGUUCAGACUGCACCUCGAACGUCUCCAGAAUCCUAAUACGCGGGGUGUAAAUGUUUAUCAAGCCCGCAACGCUGCUGGAGAGAUUCUCCGAAGCACCGACCGCGACGGCAGAUGUGCAGAGGGUGUCUUUCCUGUGCGGAAUAGGAGAUCGUCUUUCCUCCCUGUGACCGGCUGCAUUCCAUCCAGCAUCUUUCCGUAGGAUGUGUCACUGAGCCAGUGGAAAAACCCUGAAAAUGCCACGUACAAAGCAAAACAACCCUAAAAACCUGAAAGAUAAAAUAGAGGAGGCACAGAAGGAGCUCAAAGACCCCAAAGUUGCGCACAAAGGUAUGAUUCAUCAUAUAAAACAACAUUCCUUUCAAAUGCAACAUCAACAGGAAGCUUCUCUCUCCCCCUCCUUAAUAUCAGAGAUGUACAAGCUCAUCUUUGUGUUUAAAGGGGAAUGGCUGGGUUUCUUUGUGCGGCAGUUGAAUUGCUCUGUUCAUUACAGCAAUCACUUUCCAAGGCAGAAGCUUAUCUGCAUUGAAUCCAGGGCAAAUUCCGGAAUAUUGUUUCAAACAUACCUUCAUUCGGCUUCCCAAAGCAAACCGCAUUUGCUUGUACUGGACUGCAUCUGUGACCAGGUUCUUUGGUCUGCCAGCGCACUGCUUAAGAAGGUGUACUAGAUGUCCUAUGGGGUUUCCAGAAGUUCCAGGAACUCUGCUGUAUGAACCUGCCACACUGUACAUCCUUAGCUUGAUCAAAAAAAUGCAGGAGCAGCUAUUUAAAAGCCAUGUUUCACCAGCAUGCAUGGAAAAACAGCAUAGAUGUUGCGUAAUUGGCUGGAAUGGAAAUGUGUUAUAGAUUAUGUAAAAGCAAAAAUGUAAACUAUGAAGUGAAUAAGCUGCUACAGUCUUCUUUUAUAUGAGAACAUGGCACUAUGAAGCAGCACCUUGCACAAUGUAAAUUAAUGUAAUCCUUUGUUACCAUAAUACAAUAAUAUGACCAUACUCAUCUACAAUGGUAGCAUGAAGGAUUCAUUUUGCGUAUGUUCAGUUUUCUCUGGCCCUAUUUUUCUUAGUGGUCAUGUUGGGACAAGUUACAUCAGAAUGCAACUGGUUUAAGAAUAAGUAAACCACUUUUAAAAAUACAGCAGGCAGUGAUGUCACAAGUCAUCUCCACGUUAAUCCUGAAUCCGUUAAAGGCAGUUAAUUAGCUCAGAGCUCAAGGAUGUCCUCACAUCCUCUUUCUACAUUCUCUAGAAACAUGUAAGGAAGUUUGUCUGUUGAUCACUGACUUACUAAAGUUACAAACAAAAUAAAGUUAGAUUGAAGUACUGGUGAAAUCCUAAC